CGCGGCCUAUCAGCUUGUUGGUGAGGUAAUGGCUCACCAAGGCGACGACGGGUAGCUGGUCUGAGAGGACGAUCAGCCACACUGGAACUGAGACACGGUCCAGACUCCUACGGGAGGCAGCAGCAGGGAAUCUUGCGCAAUGGGCGAAAGCCUGACGCAGCGACGCCGCGUGGGGGAUGAAGGCCUUCGGGUUGUAAACCCCUUUCAGGAGGGAAGAAAAUGACGGUACCUCCAGAAGAAGCCCCGGCCAACUACGUGCCAGCAGCCGCGGUAAUACGUAGGGGGCGAGCGUUGUCCGGAUUUAUUGGGCGUAAAGGGCUCGUAGGCGGCUUGACAAGUCGAUCGUGAAAACCCAGGGCUCAACCCUGGGACGCCGGUCGAUACUGUCAUGGCUAGGGUCCGGUAGAGGAGAAUGGAAUUCCCGGUGUAGCGGUGAAAUGCGCAGAUAUCGGGAGGAACACCAGUAGCGAAGGCGGUUCUCUGGGCCGGUGCCGACGCUGAGGAGCGAAAGCGUGGGGAGCAAACAGGAUUAGAUACCCUGGUAGUCCACGCCGUAAACGUUGGGCACUAGGUGUGGCGUCUUUAUCAACGGAUGCCGUGCCGAAGCUAACGCAUUAAGUGCCCCGCCUGGGGAGUACGG
rnacentral:rRNA from 1 species